ACCACUCUGUAGACUUUUCAGGCUGAGAUACCACUGGUAAAACAGUGUUUUCAACUUCAAUCAUAUUUCCAACACUUGAUAUUUCAGGAAAUCUCUUUAAGCAGAGAUGCUUACACAAGUCAUUUCCAAUCACGAAUUGACGCCAAGAACUAGACACAGCAGAAACCCGGAUAAGAUCAGACGGGUUAUCCAAACAACUUAGGAUCUUUAUAGACAUAUCAGGUAAAAGGCAUUGCACAAA
rnacentral:misc_RNA from 1 species